rnacentral:rRNA from 1 species
GAUGAACGCUGGCGGCGUGCCUAAUACAUGCAAGUCGAGCGAACGGACGAGAAGCUUGCUUCUCUGAUGUUAGCGGCGGACGGGUGAGUAACACGUAGAUAACCUACCUAUAAGACUGGGAUAACUUCGGGAAACCGUAGCUAAUACCGGCUAAUAUUUUGAACCGCAUGGUUCAAAAGUGAAAGACGGUCUUGCUGUCACUUAUAGAUGGAUCCGCGCUGCAUUAGCUAGUUGGUAAGGUAACGGCUUACCAAGGCAACGAUGCAUAGCCGACCUGAGAGGGUGAUCGGCCACACUGGAACUGAGACACGGUCCAGACUCCUACGGGAGGCAGCAGUAGGGAAUCUUCCGCAAUGGGCGAAAGCCUGACGGAGCAACGCCGCGUGAGUGAUGAAGGUCUUCGGAUCGUAAAACUCUGUUAUUAGGGAAGAACAUAUGUGUAAGUAACUGUGCACAUCUUGACGGUACCUAAUCAGAAAGCCACGGCUAACUACGUG